GCCAAAUAACUUCGGUAGUGCAUAUACGAAAAUUGGAACGAUACAGAGAAGAUUAGCAUGGCCCCCUGCGCAGGGAUUUUUUGAAAACUUCAUUUACCACACUUAU
rnacentral:snRNA from 1 species